AACGAACGCUGGCGGCAGGCUUAACACAUGCAAGUCGAACGCCCCGCAAGGGGAGUGGCAGACGGGUGAGUAACGCGUGGGAACGUGCCCUUCGCUUCAGGAUAGCCUCGGGAAACUGGGAGUAAUACUGGAUACGCCGUAUUGGGAAAGAUUUAUCGGCGAAGGAUCGGCCCGCGUUAGAUUAGGUAGUUGGCGGUGUAAUGGACCACCAAGCCUACGAUCUAUAGCUGGUCUGAGAGGAGGAUCAGCCACACUGGGACUGAGACACGGCCCAGACUCCUACGGGAGGCGGCAGUGGGGAAUCUUGGACAAGGGGGGCAAGCCUGAUCCAGCCAUGCCGCGUGAGUGAAGAAGGCUUUAGGUUUGUAAAACUCUUUCGCCGGAGAAGAUAAUGACGGUAUCCGGAGAAGAAGCCCCGGCUAACUUCGUGCCAGCAGCCGCCGUAAAAC
rnacentral:rRNA from 1 species